rnacentral:rRNA from 1 species
CCUACGGGAGGCAGCAGUGAGGAAUAUUGGUCAAUGGACGAGAGUCUGAACCAGCCAAGUAGCGUGAAGGAUGACUGCCCUAUGGGUUGUAAACUUCUUUUAUAUGGGAAUAAAAUGUUCCACGUGUGCCUUUUUGCAUGUACUUUAUGAAUAAGGAUCGGCUAACUCCGUGCCAGCAGCCGCGGUAAUACGGAGGAUCCGAGCGUUAUCCGGAUUUAUUGGGUUUAAAGGGAGCGUAGAUGGGUUGUUAAGUCAGUUUUGAAAGUUUGCGGCUCAACCGUAAAAUUGCAAUUGAUACUGGCAGUCUUGAGUACAGUUGAGGUAGGCGGAAUUCGUGGUGUAGCGGUGAAAUGCUUAGAUAUCACGAAGAACCCCGAUUGCGAAGGCAGCUUACUAAACUGUGACUGACAUUGAUGCUCGAAAGUGUGGGUAUCAAACAGGAUUAGAUACCCCAGUAGUC